GGUUUCAUGGUGUAGUGGUUAUCACGUCUGCUUUACACGCAGAAGGUCCUGAGUUCGAUCCUCAGUGAAACCA
rfam:Monodelphis domestica chromosome 5, whole genome shotgun sequence.